rnacentral:tRNA from 1 species
UCCCUAGUAGUCCAGGGUUAGGACUCUGAGCUUCCAAGGCAGGGAGUGUAGGUUCGAUCCCUGAUCAGGGAA